rnacentral:pre_miRNA from 1 species
GCUAUCGUCUUACCUGGGCAAUAUUAGAGUUCUGUCCAUCUAAUACUGUCAGGUAAUGAUGCUAGC